GUUCUUAGCUGUGCAUGGCAGCAACACGUCGCCGAUCCUCUCUCUUCGUCGGGAGCGUCGGAUGUGUCUAAGAGCCAGGCGUAAUAGCUCACUGGUCGAGUCGGCCUGCGCGGAAGAUGUAACGGGGCUAAACCAUGCACCGAAGCUGCGGCAGCGACACUGUGUGUUGUUGGGUAGGGGAGCGUUCUGUAAGCCUGUGAAGGUGUGUCGUGAGGCAUGCUGGAGGUAUCAGAAGUGCGAAUGCUGACAUAAGUAACGAUAAAGCGGGUGAAAAGCCCGCUCGCCGGAAGACCAAGGGUUCCUGUCCAACGUUAAUCGGGGCAGGGUGAGUCGACCCCUAAGGCGAGGCCGAAAGGCGUAGUCGAUGGGAAACGGGUUAAUAUUCCCGUACUUGGUGUUACUGCGAAGGGGGGACGGAGAAGGCUAUGUUGGCCGGGCGACGGUUGUCCCGGUUUAAGCGUGUAGGUGUGUGUUCCAGGUAAAUCCGGUUCACUUUAACACUGAGGCGUGACGACGAGGCACUACGGUGCUGAAGCAACAAAUGCCCUGCUUCCAGGAAAAGCCUCUAAGCAUCAGGUAACAUCAAAUCGUACCCCAAACCGACACAGGUGGUCAGGUAGAGAAUACCAAGGCGCUUGAGAGAACUCGGGUGAAGGAACUAGGCAAAAUGGUGCCGUAACUUCGGGAGAAGGCACGCUGACACGUAGGUGAAGUGAUUUACUCAUGGAGCUGAAGUCAGUCGAAGAUACCAGCUGGCUGCAACUGUUUAUUAAAAACACAGCACUGUGCAAACACGAAAGUGGACGUAUACGGUGUGACGCCUGCCCGGUGCCGGAAGGUUAAUUGAUGGGGUCAGCGCAAGCGAAGCUCCUGAUCGAAGCCCCGGUAAACGGCGGCCGUAACUAUAACGGUCCUAAGGUAGCGAAAUUCCUUGUCGGGUAAGUUCCGACCUGCACGAAUGGCGUAAUGAUGGCCAGGCUGUCUCCACCCGAGACUCAGUGAAAUUGAACUCGCUGUGAAGAUGCAGUGUACCCGCGGCAAGACGGAAAGACCCCGUGAACCUUUACUAUAGCUUGACACUGAACAUUGAGCCUUGAUGUGUAGGAUAGGUGGGAGGCUUUGAAGUGUGGACGCCAGUCUGCAUGGAGCCGACCUUGAAAUACCACCCUUUAAUGUUUGAUGUUCUAACGUGGACCCGUUACCCGGGUUGCGGACAGUGUCUGGUGGGUAGUUUGACUGGGGCGGUCUCCUCCUAAAGAGUAACGGAGGAGCACGAAGGUUGGCUAAUCCUGGUCGGACAUCAGGAGGUUAGUGCAAUGGCAUAAGCCAGCUUGACUGCGAGCGUGACGGCGCGAGCAGGUGCGAAAGCAGGUCAUAGUGAUCCGGUGGUUCUGAAUGGAAGGGCCAUCGCUCAACGGAUAAAAGGUACUCCGGGGAUAACAGGCUGAUACCGCCCAAGAGUUCAUAUCGACGGCGGUGUUUGGCACCUCGAUGUCGGCUCAUCACAUCCUGGGGCUGAAGUAGGUCCCAAGGGUAUGGCUGUUCGCCAUUUAAAGUGGUACGCGAGCUGGGUUUAGAACGUCGUGAGACAGUUCGGUCCCUAUCUGCCGUGGGCGCUGGAGAACUGAGGGGGGCUGCUCCUAGUACGAGAGGACCGGAGUGGACGCAUCACUGGUGUUCGGGUUGUCAUGCCAAUGGCACUGCCCGGUAGCUAAAUGCGGAAGAGAUAAGUGCUGAAAGCAUCUAAGCACGAAACUUGCCCCGAGAUGAGUUCU
rnacentral:rRNA from 1 species